CACGUGUGACAUCUGUGGACAACAUCUUGAAAUGGAUAAGACCAAAGUCUGAAAGUAAAAAGAAAUUAAACCUAUAUAUAUAUAUAUAAACUAUAAAUGUGACAAAACACUUUGUAAAAUUAAUAAGAUGACAUAAUCAUAUAUCAUAUUUUUAUACGACCGCAAAAAAAUUUUUGUGGUCGUAUAUUGGUAUGACGUUGGCGUCGUCGUCGUCCGGCGUCGUCCGAAGACACAUUGGUUUUCGCACUCUAACUUUAGUUUAAGUGAAUGGAUCUCUAUGAAAUUUUACCACAAGGUUCAAUACCACAAAAGAAAGGUUGGGAUUGAUUUUGGGGGUUAUGGUACCAAUAGUAAAGGAAUUAGGGGCCAAAAAGGGGCCAAAAAUAAGCAUUUUUAUACGCCCGUCAAAUUUUUGACGGGACGUAUUAUGUUAUACAAAUGUCCGGCGUCCGUCCGUCUGUCUGUCCGUCUGUCUGUCCGUCUGUCUGUCCGGCGUAAACAUGUCGCACUGUAACUUGAGAAUGACUUAUCCAAAUUUCAUGAAACUUAAUAUAGUUGUUUCUUAUGAUUGUCAAACGAUCUGUAUACUUUUUGGUGAAAAUAAGAUUAAAACUUUUUGAGUUACGGGACUUAGUAACUAAAACAGGUGUGUGUUUUUUUUCACAUGUCGCGCCGUAUCUCAAAAACAAUUUAUGAUUAUUGCUUAAAACUUUACACACUUCUUAGUUAUAUUAAUCUUAAGAUCUGUAUACUUUUUGGUGAUGAUUCAAAAUUUUAUUUCUGAGUUAUUGAGUAUUUUGUUAAAAAGGGGGAGGGGCUUUUCACAUGUCACGCCGUAUCUCAAAAAAGAUUUAUGAUUAUUGCUUAAAAUUUUACACACUUCUUAGUUAUAUUAAUCUAAAGAUCUGUAUACUUUUUGGUUUUGAUUCAAAAUUUUAUUUUAUAGAUAUUGAGUUUUUUGUAAAAAAAAAGGGGGGGUUUUCGCAUGUCACGCCGUAUGUCAGAAACUAUUUAUGCUUAUUGCAUAAAAAUUCACACACAAGACGACGGGCGUAUCAUGCGCUCAUGGCGCAGCUGUUUAUUGUAACUUCCAGACAUAACUUGUGUGUUAGUGUAUGGAUCUCUCUGACAUUGUACCACAAGGUUCCAUAUCACAAAAGGAAUGCUGGGAUUGAUUUUGGGGGUAAUUGCCUCAAAAUUUUAGGAAUUAGGGGCCAAAAAAGGGGCAAAAAACAAGCAUUUUUCUAGUUUCAUGACAAUAACUUGUGUGUAAGUGUAUGGAUCUUUCUGAAAUUGUACUACAAGGUUCCAUAUCACAAAGGGAAAGCUGGAAUUGAGUUUGGGGGUAAUUGCCGAAACAUGUAGGAAUUGGGGGCCAAAAAGGGGCCAAAAAUAAGCAUUUUUCUAGUUUCCAGACAAUUACUUGUGUUCAAGUGUAUGGAUCUCUCUGAAAUUGUACUGCAAGGUACCAUACCACAAAGGGAAGGCUGGGAUUGAUGAUGGGGGUAAUUACCUCAAUAUUUUAGGAAUUUGGGGCCAAAAAGGGGCAAAAAAACACAUUUUUCUAGUUUCCAGACAAUAACUUGUGUGUAAGUGUAUGGAUCUCUCUGAAAUUGUACUACAAGGUUCCAUAUCACAAAGGGAAAGCUGGGUUUGAGUUUGGGGGUAAUUGCCCUAAACGUUUAGGAAUUUGGGGCCAAAAAGGGGCCAAAAAAAACAUAUUUUUCUAGUUUCCAGACAAUAACUUGUGUUCAAGUGUAUGGAUCUCUCUGAAAUUGUACUGCAAGGUACCAUACCACAAAGGGAAGGCUGGGAUUGAGUUUGGGGGUGAUGAAUCAUAAUGGGGGUUCCAAAAAUUUUGGGGGGGGGAUUUAUUUUUUUUUCCUUUUUUUUCUUUUUUUCCUUUUUUGUUCCUUUUAAAAUUUUCCAUUUUAAGUUGGUUAUUUCUGAUUUAUAUUUAAAAUCAAAUAAUAAUGAUAUGGUAGGAGAUACACACCAAACAGGAUGUGUAAAUUAUUAUAUAAUAAGUAUUGUGCAAUAGCAAGAAAUUUUCAAUUGCACAGUAUUGCACAAUAGCAAGAAAUCUUCAAUUGCACAGUAUUGCGCAAUAGCAAGAAAUCUUCAAUUGCACAGUAUUGCACAAUAGCAAGAAAUAUCCAAUAGCACAAUAUUGCGCAAUAGAAAGAAAUUGUCAAUUGUACAGUAUUGCGCAAUAGCAAGAAAUAUUUAAUAGCACAGGAUUGUGCAAAAGAAGAUACUUCCUAUAAAUUGCCUAUUUCUUGACCAAUUUCAAUGGGGUUUUAUUCUUGAUUUCAUGGGGUUCUUUAAUAUGCUGAAUCUAACCGUGUAUUUAGUUUUUGGAUUUUGGGCCCCGUUUUUAAAUUGGUCCACAUUGAGGUCAAAAGGGUCCAAAAUUAAACUUUGUUUGAUUUCAUCAAAAAUUGAAUUAUUGGGGUUCUUUGAUAUGCCGAAUCUAACUGUGUAUUUAGAUUCUUAAAUUUUGGUCCCGUUUUCAAAUUGGUCUACAUUAAGGUCCAAAGGGUCCAAAAUUAAACUUAGUUUGAUUUUAACAAAAAUUGAAUUCUUAGGGUUCUUUGAUAUGCUGAAUCUAAACAUGUAUUUAGAUUUUUGAUUAUGGGCCCAGUUUUCAAGUUGGUCCAAAUCGGGGUCCAAAAUUAAACUUUGUUUGAUUUCAACAAAAAUUGAAUAUAUGGGGUUCUUUGAUAUGCUGAAUCUAACCAUGUAUUUAGAUUUUUGAUUUUUGGGCCCCGUUAUCAACUUUGUCCACAUUGAGGUCAAAAGGGUCCAAAAUUAAACUUUGUUUGAUUUCAUCAAAAAUUAAAUUCUUGGGGUUCUUUGAUAUGCUGAAUCUAACCAUGUAUUUAGAUUUUGGAUAUUGGACCAUAAUAGGUGAAUGUCCAAUUUAAAAUUUUUAAGUUCUUAGACCACAUUCAUUCUGUGUCAGAAACCUAUGCUGUGUCAAAUAUUUAAUCACAAUCCAAAUGCAAAGCUGUAUCAAGCUUGAAUGUUGUGUCCAUACUUGCCCCAACUGUUCAGGGUUCGACCUCUGUGGUCGUAUCAAGCUGCGCCCUGCGGAGCAUUUUAUUUGUACCUAUAAUGGUCAUAUUUCAAUAUAUCAUGAUAUAUUUGAAAUUUA